rnacentral:lncRNA from 1 species
CUUUGCUGAGUUUUGCUGUGCAUUUUAACUGCAUUAUGCAUUUUUGAACACAUGUUAAAAAGUAGGGUUGUAUUUUCAUCUAUUUUGUGAUAUUGUCUGUUGAUUUUUUGUUGUUGUUGUUAAAGAUGUUACACUGCCCUUUCCCCCCCACACACAAUUUUUACCUGGUAUCUUUGUGUAGAUACAUACUGGGUUUUUGUUGUUCAUAUUUGAUCAAGAUGCAUUCUUUCAAACUAACUAUUAAGAGGGAAAUUACAGGUAUGCCAAGAACAUUAGUUGCAUCUUAGGUGCAAGAUAGUUUUCCUGGUUUCUCUGCUCAAAACUUCUGUCCUCUUUUGUGCCAGUGGAUUCAUUCUUCAAAGUAUAGCCACAUCUUCUGGGCCUCUCUAACUUAAGUGAUUUAAGUAGUGUGAACUAUCAGCCUUGAGUUCCCACAGGUUCUUAUAGCUUCUACUACCAAAAGAUAUGACUUCUGCCUUCUAAAUUUCUUGCUUUGUAUGUUAACAAUUCGAGAAUUUGGGAAAUUAUAUACAAGUUUUUAUACAACUUUCCUGUAAGUUUGAAAGAAAAAUGCAUGCCUCACUUUUAGAAGAGUAGUUUUUUCUGAGACUGAAACUUUUCCCUCCACUUACUCUCAUGACACUUUCUAUAUCUCCUUCUCUAGUUGCUUCUGAGAUUUCCCUGAUCCAGUCUCAAUUAUAAAUGUUGCAAUUCUGACUUAAGAGAGGAACCUUUUUUGGGGGGAGUGAAAAUUUGCUAUUCCCCCACUAUUUUAUACUUUUUGUCAUUCUCCCAUGCUCAGAUGUGGCUUCUUGCAUAGGUUCUAGUAGUCCCGGGUACUUUGGGCCAUGUUUACUUAUGAUUUGGUAUUUUCUGCUUUUUAUUAUCUUCUAGUUUUACUGAAGAUAUAUGGGUUUGUUUUGUUUUGUUCUUUUUCUUAACUUUCUCUUUGUUGCUCUACACAGGUCCUAGGAGAAAGAUGGGGAAAUUUGGAAAUUGCUAUUAUGUUCCUACUGGAACAUGAAGUCUAGCUUUGGAAAUUUUUAAGAAUAAUUUCUAAAUAAUCUAUCAAAGAAAUCACAAAAGAAAUUUGAAUUUCAAAUUGAGUGAUUAACAGUACACAUCAGAACUGGCAUAAUUGACUAAAACAAUGCUUAGAGAGAAUUUAGAACUUUAAAUGCCUAUUACAAAAAAAGAAAAGCAUCAGUGACCUGAGUAUUCAUCUCAACAGUUAGAAAAAUAACAGAAAAUUAAAUUCAAAGGGAAUAGAAGAAAAUAAAAGCUAAAAAUAGAAACCAAUGAGGGGGGUAAAACUUAUUUCCUUUAAGUAGGGAGACUUCAAAGAUUCUUAAGAAGGAUAGUGACAUGAUCAUAUUUGUUUUCCAGAAAGAGACCUCUGGCAGCAGUGUGGAGAAUAGAUAGAGGAGAAAAAAACUAAUCUGAGAAGCCAGUUAGGAGGCUUUUCAAUCACUAGUUCAGGUAAGAGAUGGUGAUGGUCUGAUGUGGGAUGGAGAGGAAGGAGAAAAUUCCAAGGAUUAAGCUAAAAGCAAAACAAAAAAUAGAUUUAAGAACCAUGUCCAGAAAAAAAUCUUUGAGUAUAAUUACUGGUACAUGGAAAUAAUGAGAAACAAGGAUUAGAAAUUUUACUAGGUUUUUGAAGGAAUUCCCUUUGCAAGUAGACUACAAACUUGGUAUACUAAUCAAGAUUCGACUGGAGAAGCAGAACCAGUAGUAGAUUUGUAGAGAUUUGGUUUCUGUAGUUGUAGGGGCCAGUAAAACCAGUCUGAAGUCUUAGGGCAGGCUGUCAGGAAAGACAGGCUAGAAAUCUUGGACACAGUCUGAAGCUAUUUUCUAUAGGUGAUUUUUGUUCUCUGUUUUGGGGAAGCCCCAACCCUGCUUUUAAUUCAUUUCAACUAAUUGAAUCAGGCCCAUCCACAUUAUCCAGAAUAAUCUCCCUUACUUAAGUCAAUUGAUGAUGGACUUUAAUUACAUCUACAAAGUAGGCUUCAUACAACACAUUAGUAUUUUAUUGAAUAAAUGGCAAAUAGUAGCCUAGCCAAAUGUGACACAUUAAAAAAAAAAGCAACAAUACUUGGCCUAAAAAUUUCUGUGAUUAUUUAAUCCUUGAAACAACCUUUGAAUGCAGUGACUGUGCUCUAUCAUAAACUGAUUUCCAAGAAGGGGAUACCCUCUAACACACAUUCAGAUUAAUGACUCUGAAGGCAUGAAUGCCAGUGCUGUCCACUGAAUAUGGGAGGUAGAUCUGCUGGUGCUGGUUAGUUGGCAGUAUACACCAAAUGUAGAUAGAUUGCAUGUUAACAUGUUCAUAGCAUAAUAAUUCUAUGGAACAUAUGGAUAGAGACAUGUAGUAUGUAGUUAUAAAUUUAGGUCAGAAAAUCUGUAGUGGUAGGAGCUAAAAUUAAGAAAAUAUCUUGAGUCCUCUGAAUCUAAAUUUAUAUUUAAAACAGAAGUGGGAAAAGUCUCUAGGGAUAGUGAUUUGAUUAAAUCUAAACAGGAAAGAGAAGGGUGAGACCAUGGGGGAUAGCAAUAUUUAAGGAGUGAAUUAGAACCACUAAACAAGUAAUGAUUAUUACAGAGUGUAUGAGAGCCAAAAAUAGUACUAAGAAGCCAAGAAAUAGAAUAUGUUCAAAAAUAGAUGAUUUAAAGUUAAACAAUGAGAGCUUUUUCAGUAAAGUCAAGAGCAAGACAAGGAUAUCAUUACUAUGAUUUAGUUACUGUCAUGUUUUCUAAUUUCUGUUCUUCUUACAGGUUUCAAUCUACAUGUUACUUCCUUGAGAAGCGUUGUUUGACAGACACCCUUCUCCCCCAUCCAGCCAUCCCCCAAGUCUGAGUUAGGUAUUUCUCUUAUGUAUUCCCAUAGCACAGUAUACUUCCCCUGUACUGACAUGUGUCACCCUGAAUUGAAAGUGUUUAUUUUUCUGUGUCUCCAGUUAGAAUGAGAGCCCCUUUAACUAGGCACUGUCCAUCUUAUUCCCCAGUGUACCUUCCAUGCCUAGUGUAACUCUUGGUCACAUUCAGAAAAAAAAGAAUAAAUAAAUCCAUGAGCAUGAAGGAGGAGCAUUCCAAUGAGUCUGAAAAGUCAGAAGUAUUUGUAGAAGUAAGUGAUGUCUUAGCUGAGAUUUAACAGUGUUAUGAGAUCAAGAAUUUGGAAUGAAAAGCAGAUGUCCAGGAAUAAAUGUUAAAAGACAAGAGAAAAAUCUAAAUAAAUGAAAUCGAUUGAGCCUUUUGAGAAAUCCUAAAAUGUUAGUUCUCCCAAAAUUAAAUGCAAUUUUAAUUAAAAUCCCAAUAGGAUAUGAGGUUUGAGUAAUUUGGGGCUGGGAUUAUAGCUCAGUGGUAGAGCACUUGCCUAGCAUUGUGAGGCACUGGGUUCAAUUCUCAGCAACAUAUACAAAUAAAUAAAAAUAAAGUCCUAUCAACAACUAAAAAUAAAAAUAAAUAAAUUAAAUAAAUAAAUAAAUACACACACACGCACACACACAUAUAUAUAAACAAGUAUAAAUAUUUUUUUAAAAGAAUAAAUGACCAAGAAUAGCCAGUACUAUUUUAAAGAAAAACAAAGGAUUGCCCUACUUGUUAGAAAAUUCUAACAGUAUGUCACAGUGAUUUAAGUGUAGAGACAGACAGGUUAAUAAAGCAAAAAAAGUACCUAGAAGCAAUGCAGAUGUGUGUGUGUGUGUGAAAUUUUUGUAAGUGGUGUUUUACAUAAAUGGGAAAGAGCAAAAUAUUCAUUAAAUUGUGUUAUAUAAUUGUUAACCAUUUUAAAAAAUAGUUGGAUCUAUCUCACACUUUAUAUAAAAUUUAUUUCUAGGGAUCCUAAAUAUGAAAAGCAAAACUUUGGAAUUAUUUGGAAUAAAAAUAAGAGAAUAGUUCUAACACUGAGCAAGUUACAAAGUGUAAAACAUAAACUUGACUAUGUCAAAAUUUAAACUUCUGUAAUACAAAUGAUAACAUGAACAACUUUAAAAUACCAAAAUAUUCGUAGCUCAUUUAAUUAAGAGCUUUAUAAAAUAUAAGGACAGAUGAAAUAGAAAAAUGGAUAGUUAUCAAAAGAGGAAACCUAGUUGGACAAGGUAAUGCAUAGUUGUAAUUCUAGCAACUCAGGAUGAUUGCAAGUUCAAGGACAGCCUGGGCAAUUUAUUGAGAGCCUGUCUUGAAACAAAAAAAGAGGAAACCCAAAUGGCCAAUAAACACAUAGAAAAAAAA